AAUGGGGAAAGCAAGGGACACUAGAUUUUAGGAGUUGGUGCUCCCAGCUGCUGGCAGUCACUUCUAUCUAUCACAGUUGCUGGGGCCUAUUUUUGAGGCAUGCUGCUGCCCCCUUGAGGAGGUUGUGUGCACUGCUUCUUGAAGUUCAUUUCACAUCAACUAGGAAACCCAGAGAUGACUUCCAGCUAAAGCAAGAAGCUUGGCAAUCAGCAAAUCCAGGCAACUGAUCCCGUUGGCUUUCUUUUUUUAAAACCUAAAAUCUGAAAACAAAUCAGCAUGUGGAGCUGAGAUUUCUGUGUCUCACUCUGAAUAUAUGGAGGGAUAAGCAGGAAUAAAAUAACCUGAUCAAGUGAUGCCUGAGUGAAAGACACAAAACAAUAUCUUGGGUAAGGGAAGAGAAGGCAGAGGUGCUCCUAGGAAACUCCAGGAGACACAGGAGAAGGGACAUUGCUGGAACAAUCAUCUCUGCUAUUGCAGGUUUCUGACUGCAGUGUGAAAGAGGCAUCUUGUGCCACAGGCAAGGAUGUGAGAAUCAAGGGCUUCGCUGUAGAGCUAUAGAGGCUUAUUUCUACAAGCGGAUCUGUAACCCCUUAAAUGGCUCGAGCCGAUGUUUAAAGUAUUGGUAU